rnacentral:lncRNA from 1 species
AUCAUGCUCAGACAUAUUAGACUGAUAUAAAAGCAGUGUAUAACUAACUUCACCAGCCUCGGUGGAAUAGCCGAAGUCUCUGCCAACUUUGCACUAUCAAAGCAUAAUUAUAUUACAGUUAUAAAUAUAAUUAUCACAGGACAUUGGCUUCACAACCUGAAUCUUCAUGCUGAGGGCAGAUAAUAGCAUUUGUCUAAUAUUUGCUUGACACAGGGACUGAUAACUCCAGGCUUUGUGACAGACCAAAUCCUUGCUCUCCCCAGUUCCUUGGAGCUGAAGGUGCUCACCCACACUGACAGUUUAGACCCCCUGGCAUCGCGCCGAGGAGCUGCGGAACCAGAGUGCACCUCGGGCCCAGCUGGGUGGCCAUCACUCGCCCUCCCAGGGUCCCCGCGGUGAAGGCUCUGUGAGGGUCGCGGCUGCGGGGGCCACACAGGCAUCACCGCGGUUGGGAUGGAUCCAUAGGGAUGUGUGUCCCUUGUGACUGAUGCCGGGGACAUGACUGCUGUGCGGGAU